rnacentral:rRNA from 1 species
UACGUAGGGGGCGAGCGUUGUCCGGAGUUACUGGGCGUAAAGCGCGCGCAGGCGGCGCAUCGCGCCCGGCGUGAAAGCCCCCGGCUCAACCGGGGAGGGUCGUCGGGGACGGGUGCGCUUGAGGACGGCAGGGGCAGGUGGAAUUCCCGGUGUAGUGGUGAAAUGCGUAGAUAUCAGGAGGAACACCGGUGGUGUAGACGGCUUUCUGGACCGUAACUGACGCUGAGACACGAAAGCGUGGGUAGCAAACAGG